UUAGAGCUCUCUGCCCUUCACUGGUCCUCCCCAACCCACACCCUUCCUAUGAAAGCAGCUUUCCUUUCAGGGAGACAGCAGUCUCAUCCAUGAAGGCAGCUCACUCUGUGGAGAUGGACUUUAGGGAAUAAGAAAACAUAACGUAGUGAAAUAUUUUCUUCCAUUUAACUAACCACUCAGUUCACUUUAAAGAUAUUUCUAACAUGUAUACAACAAUAGAUGAUUGUGGGAGGGCGUUUAACCCCCCCAACACAAUACAAGUUUUACUUUCUUUUAUUUAAGUAAAAGCUAAUAUAGAAUCUUGUCAGUAGCCAAAUUAUUGCCAAAAAAUCUGAAUGAGGUUAGGAAAAUAUGUUCUGCUGGCUUCAAACCUGGUGGCAUUUUAAUGGGUAGUUAUAUAAUAGUUAUGUGCAUGAAGGUGUAUGCACAUGGGUGUGUGUAUAUUCUUAUGGUGUUAGAAGUUCCUUGAUGGAUUAAAGGUUCAUUUACUCAAGCACUAGAUAGAGACUGUCACUCAUGUGUACAUGCCGGGGGUCUGGCAGAAAGCAGUGCAAAAAAGAGUUUUGAAUGAGCUCCUUGGAAUCACUAUUGUUGAAAUACAAGCUGAAGCAACUUAGUAAUGGUAAAGCUAUUGUGCAUUGCAGAAUCAUCGAAAGACACUUCAAAGUAAAAUUGUCAAUUUUCAGUUUGGUAGCUGCGGCAGGGCAUUUAAACAAAAGGUGAGCAUCAUUUGCUUAAUAUAUUUACUUAAAAAUUCAGCAAUAAGCUACUCUGUUUAUCUUACUUUUCAAUGAAUUGAAAAAUUAAAAGAGACUAGGCUUAGCUAGAGAUGAUAGCAUAAGAGGCUUGCUACCCAUAUCAUCAAGUCUGAUGGGCGCUAUACAUGCUUUUAAUAUUAGAUUGCAGAGCAACUCCUGCUGACAAAGUUCCAAAGACAUGGAAAGCCAUGUGGACAUUUAGAAGUGGACAGAAUGAGGAGAGAUUGUCUGAUUCUGUUUUUUUUUUUUUCCUCUUUCUCAAGAGCCUGAUAGUGAAAUCUUAAAAAUGACAGUUCAUCUUUGGUAUGUCAAAAAAACCCAUUAAUCAAAUGGUAUCAAGUGCCAGUCAUUUAAAUGUGAAGGUGUUAGCAAGGCAGAUAUCCACAUAAAUUAGUAUUGUUAAUUAGUUGCAUCAAUGUACUUAACGAAAAUAUAAACUGAACAACAAUGGGGAUCUAUCUGAUUUAAUUUUCUUUAGCCAUGAACUCAGGUGAAUUUCAGAAGGGCAGAAAUAAUUUAAGGACUAAUUUCCAUUCUAUUGGUUUUUAGAAGGCUAAAAACAAUCAGUUUCUAUAUAAAGCAUAAGAUUAGAGAAUUAAGUAGAUGGAGAAAGACAGACACACUGCCAUAAUAAAAAAAAAAUAUGUAUGAAUUUCAAAUGUAUUUAAUGAAUUAAUUUACCAACUGCAUUUCUCCCCUUGAAACGUUGAAGGUUCACAUUAAAAAUGCAGGACUUCUGUGCAAAAUUUGGAUGAGGCUGUUUAACGUAAUAUUCUGCUUCUUGACCAUAAGAAGUAUCAGCUUGAUAGUUUACCAAGUGUAACAUUUAAACAAAAUUAACACUAGUCUUUUAAUUUUGAAUACAGGAUAGAGAAAGGUGCUUUUCCUAUCUGCCCAUUACAACUGAUAAUAAAUUAAUUAACCUCAUCGAAGAGAUUAUUAUGUGCUUGACUGAGGUAAAUUGAUCGAGAUAAUAUCACUUAAAAUUGUUUACAGCAAAAGUGAAAACAUAAAAGGAUGGGAAUAUUGACUUCAGUGAAAAGUGUCACACUAGGUAUUUUUGACAGGAGCACAGCACCUCACGUGUCAGGGAGAAGUUAAAAAAUUAGUCAAUCUUAUUUCUUUGCAGAGCGUAAGUUAAUAACUUAUUUGUUGGCUCCAAAAGUUAUGUUGCAAAUUUUCAUCUUGUGGGUACUUUGUUGCCAUAUUGACAUACAAUUAGGAAGAUUUUAGGAUUGUGAAAUUUAAGCAGUAGGGGGUAGAGUUAAAAAGAUAUUUUUAUUCGUAGUCUCCAAGACCUAUGCUUAUCUACUCAUUGAUUUUUUUAUAUGAUUUUGGUUAAUUUAAUGGCUUCUAAAUCAUAUACUAUUUUGCUGAAGUCUACUUUGUUCAUAAAUUGAAAACAAAUUCAAAGGCAUCAGAUCUUUUUCCGAAGUGCAAUUGAAUGUUCAGUUAUUGAAGAGCUAUUUAAAUUUCUCAGGUUCUAGUAAAAACAAACACACUUACAAACACCUAAUCUCUUCUUUCUUAGCAGCUCUUAAAAUUGCAACCGGUAUGGCUGAGGAUGAAUAUUUUAUAUAAGAGCCUUUAACUCUCUUCCUAUUUCACCCAGAAAUGCCUUUAAUUUGUCUUUUAUGCUUAUGUACUUUAAAAAGACAUUGGUCAGUAUGCAAGAAUUAUUCACCCCCUUUUAAAAACAGUGAAUAAAAAUUCUAAUUAUAGAGAAGAGGCUUGAUGUUUACUCUGAAGUUUCAGGAACAUAUAAAGUUUUCGUAAUAAACAAGAAGAAACUCUAUCCUAGAUAAAUUUAAAUAGGGCAGCUUGUGGGUAUGGUUUAUAUUCAUGUCCUCUACCUUCUUGCCUUUGGCACCAAAGCAUCUGGGGUUUUGUCCUCACAUACUUUCUAUUGUUAACAGAGUGUUUUUUUGAGGUUAAAAAAAUUUUCAAAUUGUCUUGCCUUUAUAGCUUAAUGCAUUGUUAAACUGAAAGAUCAAAUUGAUUUCUGUGUUCAAAUUCGUAUGUCCAGGCAGUAAUGAAGAGGUGAGGUUCUUUACCCCACCAACACAAAAACAAAAACAACAUUACAUAUAUGAGCUAAAAAGAUUAAAAAACUUAGGAUUCAAUAUGUUGGAAAUACACACAUAUUGUUUUUACAAUGGAGCUCUUAAAGAGAGAUUUUUCAUCUUGACUAUCUACCGAGAUGGGAUACUUCAGUUUUAUAUACAAAUUUCUAGAUUUUAAGCGAACUUUAACAACAUAUCAUCGCAGGCUUAUUAAAGUGAAGGAAGAUUUAAAAGUAAGCCUCCAAAAUAAAAGACACAGAUAAGUGACAGGACAUGAUGGCUGGCCUCAGGUUUUAGGGAUGUUACAAAAGUUUUAUUUUAAAAAUUACAAUAACAUCCUUUUUUCAUCAAGUGUGAAACAAGAUGAUUAUAGGAGAAAAAAAGAAGAAAAAGAUUUCCUCUCAUUCUCCCCCACUAAAAAACCGAAACAACAACAAAAAGCAAAAACAAACCCCAAUCCUAAACCCUACCUAAGAAGCCCCUUACCACUUUGCAGAAAGUUUCUGUGUAACUGUGGGUCCUGCCAAAGCUCCCAGUUGGUCUACUUUUUAAAUGCGGCAGACAGUGGUUAGACUUUAAUCAGCAGCCUGGCAGCCUCGAGUAGGAGGCUGACUUUGGGAGCUCAACUGCAGGUGACCUACCACUUAGAGGUAAACUUUGGAAAGCAACUGAUGAAAGUUACCCUUUCCUUUCCAAAAGAGGUUUUCAGAGGCGGGACAGUGAGAGCCGAUAUAACCAAUUUUAUGAUUUUCUGAGGCAUUCCUAACUUUUACGAUUCCCCCCUCCUUCUUUACUAUCUGUCUUUGUGCCUCCAGGGCCAGGAAAGAGCAGGGCAGAUUCUAGAUUGCUUUCAGAGUUUGCCUUCUCUGAUGAUGGAUUACCAUGUCAAUUUAAACGGCAUAGGAUUAAUUUGUUUCAAUGAUUUCUCUUUAGGCUGAAUGCCAGCCGUUUUUCUAUCUCUCCCCUUGCUCUUCAGAACAACCACCAAAAAAAAAAGAUACUUCUUUCCAUAUUCUAAGUUAGGAGACAAUAAUAGAAAUAGACAAGUUAGGUGUAAUGUUGCAGCACAGUUAUAGGUCUGAGUGUUUUUAUCUCCGCCUAAGAGGCUGAAACAUACAGUCAGUCACAUUAAAAUGAAAUUGAACUCAACGUUUAUUCAAUAAAUACUUGUCUUGUAGAUAAUCCAGUGCCGAGUGCUUUUGACACAUAAGGACUUAAUUUGUCUUGGAUAGCAAGUUAUUAAUAUGGCACAUUUAAACUUGCCACCUACAGUAAGGUUAUUGAGAUCUAUAACAAACUCAAAUGAUCAUUGUGAAAAAUAAUUUGUGUGAGGAAGGGAGACCUUUUGGAGAAUGCGUAUCUUUAUAAUAUAUAUAUCUUUACACACACAUAGUAAAAGCAUGUACAUUUCAGAUCACAUAUGGACAAAAAAGUUCAAUGAAGUUAAAAAAAUUCCAUUUAUUAUGCAGAUGUAUCUAACCUUUCCAAAAUAAGAAUGUAUCAGAGAAUUUUCCCUUUGGAAAGAUUUCUACAGUGCACAAGAAAAAUGCUGUUCAAAUCCUAUUUCUUUGCAAGACCAAACCCACUAUGAGGUUGAAAAUGGCACAAAAAAGCACUUAGGUACAAUCCAAAAUCAAACACCCCCUCCACAUUUUUCACCUACACCAACCUUGCAGCCAGAGAGAGCAUGUUGCCUGUAGAAUAAAGGCAAUUUGAGUGAAAUAAUGUAUUCCUAAAGAGAUUAUUGUAUUUCCUUCUCUAACGGGAGGCCCUCCAGCAGAUGCAAAGGAAGAGGACAGGGGUUUUAUCCUAUGGACUGACUAUGUCGAGUGCUUGUGGAUAUUUAAACCCUGGGCUUUUUUUUCACCCCCUUCUUUUCCUAAUUGCCUCUCCUUUCCCCAGUAUCCCCCUUCAUUGAAAUUAAACAUCACAGUUCAGGAUAAUAAAUUGCAUUCCGAAUAUGAACACAAAUAGGUUUUAUAGCCUGCCCCUUUUCCAAAGCCCCUCACUGCAUAGACGGCCUUCAUUUGAGCAGGUUCUCCUUUCUAAGGACAUAUGCAAUCAGAGGCCAGUGACUGUUAGAACUGGAAUCUAUGCAAUUUUAAUUUGCAAAAAAGUUGUUGGUUGUUAACCUUGGGGGAGAUUGUGCAUCUCUAAGAAACCAAAUCUUUGAGAGCUCUCCCUGGGAAAUGAUGCUACACAUGAGCAGAAAAUCCAGGCAAGAAAGGCUAAUUGAAUGAAGAGAGAGAAUUAGGUUAAAAAAUAGAGUACAAUCUAGUAUCACAUUUUCACCAGUGUAACUUGAAAUGAAGGUGUCUUCAAGUCGCCAGUGAUGCCAGAGUGUUUAGAUGUUGGCCACAGAUGGGAACACCUAUUGAAAUGUGUCUGAAGAAGAUUAAUAGGGCUUGUCACUGUUGGGAAAGCACUGCUUUGCUGUAAAUUUCUACCAGCACAAGAUGAAUUACCGAUGAAUGCUCACUUAUCAACCCCAUCACUAUCGUUCGACACUAAAUCAAAUUGAGAAGUUAUCUACAAUCAGAAAAUUUCUUUUUAAAAUAGACGUACACCUUUAGGCCCCAACUCUUUAAUAAUCCCACUCAAAAAACAAUUCCCCAUCCCCUGAUGCUUCUUUAGCUUAAACAAAUUAGAUUUCAGUAAUGAAGAUAUUUUUAAGUUCAUACACAACGGCCAGCUGGUCAAUAGCAAAGUUUGAUAGUAUUUUAAUGAGGCUAUGAAGGCUUCUUGGAAGUCACCAUUUAAUAUUUCACAAAAUGUGUUUUCUUUACUUUGAGUUAUUUCUGUCCCUUACUUGGAAGGCAGAGAAGAGAGUGGUUUUGCGAUUUUCCUGUUCUAAACCCCAUACCUGUAACCUAAUCAUCAUCUAAUCCUGUGGUAAGAUAAAAUUAUGAGAGACCUGCAAGUUUAGGUAGAGAACAGUAGAUUGGAUUAAAUGGAUGGCAAUAAUAAUCGAGGAAAUGCAUUUAUUCUUUUAUGAUUUAACAAUGUUUCAUAUAUAUAAUUUCUAAGGUGAUUUGUUUGAGAAACCAAACAGUGGCAUCUCUUUUAUUAUCUGUUAACCAACUGAAAGCAUCCAGAGAUUUUCCAACCUAGUAAUAAUAAUGUUUUAAUAAAACAAUCAACCCCUGUGUUUUUAUAGGGCUCUAUCUGUUUAAAAUGAUCUCACAUGCAUAAUUUAUUUGAUUUUUACUGAAAUCCUGCACAGAGAUUUUGAAUUCCCAUUUUGCUGAUGAGUAAACCGAGGCUCAGAGAGUUAUCUGAGAUUAUGGAGCCAAUAGGAGCCCAGUCAGAAUUCAUACCUAGGUCUGCUAGGUUUCUUUCAGGGUCUUUUCACUCCAAGUCCUUAUGUAAAUGAAGAAGAAGAUGAUGAUGAUAGCAAUGGCAGUUAACAUUUACUAUAUACCAGAACUAUGGUAAACAUAUGCAUAUGUUAUUUUAUUUAAUCUCUGUACAACUCUUUGAGGUAGAUACUGUUGUUAUUUUUAUGAUUCAAGAGAAAAAACCCACAAAACAGACUUACAGAGCGUAGGGACUUGCCUGAAACUCACAUUGCUAGUAAGUUGGGGACACGUUAUUCAAAUCCAGGAAGUCUACAUUCAAAGCCACUGUCCUAUUCUAUGUUCCUGUUUCCAAUUGCAAGGAAUCUUCAACUGUACUGAGUAGUCACAAGAAAUCUCACUUAUUUUUGAAAUAUAAAAAUCCUUCCAACUCUGAGGCAGUGUGUCCUAACAGAACAGACCCUAGUUUGGAAAUAACGAGACCUAGGUUUAAAUUCUAGCUUUACUGGUUACUAUGUGAUCACAACUUCUUUGGCCUUUAUUUUCCUCUUCUCUAAAAUGAGGUAGUUGGGUCAAAUGAAGCUAUGGGCAUUGCAUUUUGUGCUUCCUCUGUCAUGAUCUCUAAGAGGAAAGAGAAAAAACAGCCAUCUCUACGGAGGUGAGUGGGGACGAGUGACAUGAGGGACAUGUUGAGAAGGUGUGGCUUGCAUCUCUCAGAGACUGGUACUGGGGACACUCGGCCUUGGACGAGGUCUCCAUUUUCUUCCUCUCUGCCUCCAGAAAGCUGAAUACUUAAGAUAGUGAUGGUACUUUAGAAAACCAUAGAAUCUUAGACUUACAGGAAAAACUUUACCUCCCUUAUUCCCAGAUAAAGCAGAAGAAAACCCUGAAGUCUGGAGAGGUUAGGUGACUUACAUAAUGUCACCCAGCUGAUUGGUGACAGGGUUGAAAGUAGACCCCUUUUCUCUUGGCCCCCAAACCAGAAACCCAACCUACUCCCUCCAAACAUCUCCACCAUGCUCUGCUCCUUACUCAACAAAAAACAUGCUUUAGAUCAUCUGAUCAUGUCCCUAUUAUAGCUAAUUCUCUGUUUUUUUGAUAUAAUACUUUGUGUGGGUUGUUAUUGGUUGUAAUAUGAAAUCUUCCUAAAUCUCUCCCACUAUCAUUUUUCAUAAAGUCUAUUAAGCUAAGCAGCCACACAGUCAAAGCUGCAAUGAAGAAUCACAGAAUAAUAAGAAUAUUCUGUAAUCUCCAUUAGGUCACUAUAAUAUUCCAAUCUGUACUUAUUACAACCCUCCUCUGAUGCUUACACAACCAAAAUUGCUAGAUUUAUAUUCUCUAAUGGUUCCUCAAUGGGAAAAACCUGUGUUUUUUAUCUUUCUUUUCCUGUCCCAAAUCACUCUUCCACAUACAUUGCCUGCUUUGGGAACCCCCGUCUGGGUUUAAUCAGAAGUUGCAAGACAAAAUGUGCAUUAUUAAGAAAUAUAAAUAUUUUCAGAAGCAAUCAAAGGGAUGAAAGAUUGAUUCAGCAUGUAGAUUGAAUCUAAUUCGAAGCAGCUUUGUUCUAAUGAGGGCUACUGGGAUAGAGCAUCCAGAGCUGUCGUGACCACCAGUUGGAAAUUCCAACUCAUUAGAAUAAUCUGUCAGGAUUUCUCUCCCUAGGUAUGCUGAAAUAUUUUCUGCAAGGUGUAUUCUCUCGUCUCUGGGCUGAGCCACCUUUCUUGCCACCCUAAGGGGCUUAUAGUAGUUAUCUUUGAGAAAUUAUGACUAAUUCCUUCUUCCCUUUAGAGUUUAGAUCAGCGAGGUGUACCUCCCUUUUCACAACUCAGAAGUUGGCUUAGCACUAACUUUCGUAAGAACAUUUUGGCCUGGAGGCAUCUGUAUUACAAUUUCUUUCUUGGCUUAAUAAAAGGUAUCACAUUAUCUACCUGGUCAAUCUCUAUUGGCUUUCAAAAUAGAGACAUGGAAAAACCUAAUAAGCCUCAUUAGGAUAUCUGCUUUAAAAACAACAGGCUGCCUCAUUUAGCAUGUUGCUUUGAAAUGUCCCAGCAGAGCUGGGUGGCCAGUGCUGGAAGACAGGUAUUGCUAAUUUGGGAUCUUUGUCAGUGGUAGAAUUUUAAUACACAAGGGAUCAAACCCUGAUUGUUGUAUUUUGUUUUUGUUUUCUUUCUUUCCUUUAAUCCCACUUUUUGUCCACAUGGCCAUGUGUGAGAGAUGGCCUGAUUUUCUUGAUAUGGUUCACUCAUCCACAGCUGGAAUUCCAAAGAGGACUGAAAAUGUCUUUAAAAUCAACACAACUCAGGGAGCCUGAGAGAACAAGUUUUCCUUUGUUGUAGGGUAUAGUAUUAUUUGCUGUAGGUUUUUUGAUAUACAUUCUAAAUUAGGCCUGCAAAGGCAUGCUUCAUCUUUAAUUCAUCACUCUCAGCUGAAAGAGAUUAGCAAUGUCUAGCACGCACCCCUCGUAUGGUGCUGACCUCAUCAAGUAUGGCCUGAAAUUAAUUAGCCUCAUUCAUACCAAAUGGAAAAGGAUAAUGGAGCAGCAUUUUAGAGAUGACCAUCACAAAUUGUAUGCGGCAUAUUUAAAAGGCCCCUAUUUUCAAACCAUGUAGAUUAAAAUUCUUUCCAGGGCUUACAAUAUGCCAGAGGUAUCAAAGACCCAGCGCACAGCCUGGUCAGGUUUCGUGUGUAUAUGUUUGUUUGUGCGCAUGCGUGUGCGAGCGUGCGUGCGUGCGUGCGUGCCGAGUUGUUUGUCGCCUGAAUCUUAGAGGCUGUGUACAGACGUGUUCGUAUUUAGCUGGCUUGCUAUUUAGGGUGACACUGGGAAUACUUCACCAACAAAAAUUAGAUGUUUGAUACCGUCUUAAAUAUGCGGUAAUAGAACACGUUAAGUGGACUUUUGUUGUUGUUAUUACCAUGAGUGGGCAUGCCGGCGCAAACUUGGCUGCUAUUUUCCAGUAAGAUGCUAUUCAUCCUCUAGUUUAGAAACAGAAGAGCCUCUUAAAGAAAUGCUCGACUUUUCUAUUUUGAGUUAUUUUUGAAACUUUGUAUGUCUUUUUCCCAGUCCCUACUGUUUGAUUAUAUUUUAAAAUAUGGUCGAGGACUAACUUGGAUUACAGAAUCACUUAAAUUUACCAUCUUUCUAAGAUUAGCUGAUUUUUCCCUUUAGGGGAUUGACUAAGGGAGGCCAGCUUUUUGAAUAUCAAAACUGCUUUCUUUUCUAGCCAAAAAAAUCUUGACCCUGGUUCUUUGGGAUUCUCAAAGAUGUAAAGUUUAUUUUUAUGAGCCCUCGUUUUGGCACUACAGAUUAGAAGAAGAAAAAAAAGGGGGAAAGGAACCACAGAGGUCAAACAGCAAGAAGAAAUGGGAGCCAUCUAUUCCUGGAGCCCAGGCCUGCCAAACGCAGAAGUGUGGUAAAGACAAGUCAUUAUUUUACUGAUAGCCGUAAAGCAUGUGUGUUCCGAGUUUUUUAAUUUGACUACUCUAAAUACCACAUUUAGACCAUCAAUUUGGAAAUAUCCACAGGCAGGGACUGAGCUCUUCUUUUUAAAGUUCUACAGUUUGGCUAGUCAUUUAGAUGAAAACAUGAUGGGUGCUGUGAUUGUGGAGUAUUAUGGAAAUCUUGGGGUUGAAAGGCAUUUUUUUACCCAGUAACCCAUUGUUCAUUUAGUGGAGGGCUGUCUUCUGAGGCAAUUCCCAUUUGAUGCCAUUCCAAUGCCUUCCCAUGUCAACACGUUUUUCUGGUAAAAACUGAUCAAAAACCAACUUUAUUUAAUUUUGGAUUUUUCUGACCCUGGUUCAUCUCAAUAAUUCACCAUUUUCUGCAGUGUCAGAGCUUCCUGACAUUUACAAUUAACUCACAAAUUAACUUAGAAAUGAUAGUAAGCUCUCAGCUAAAUGAUAUAGUGGCCACUGGGGACCAGACCAAUUUUCUAGAAUAAGGUUAGGACUAAGUUGCUCCGUAACAGUGUGAAGGUUGGUUGUGUAGAAGUAGUUAUUCAAGUGUGAGUAGGAAUCUGGGUGUGAGAAGGGAGACAUUAUCUGCCUCUAAUUCUGUUGGUUGCUCAGCCCUCUGAUACUUCUUCACCUAUAAAACAGGGAUAACCAGUUUUAAAAAUGUUUUGGAAUUCAAGGCUUCAUGAUGGAAUCAAGAAGUCAUGGAAUCUUGCCCUUGGAAGGAAACUUGGAGAACCUUGAUCCAACUUCAUAUUGAACUCAGAAUUCUAGAGAUGGGCAGAUAGGCAGACAGACACCAAUCCAGCAAUUUUGGGGAGUUGUAAAUUCAAGGCGGGUAACACAAAUGGGUGAAGGCUCCCAGUUUGGCCAGGGCCAAACACCUAGAGAGAUGGGAGAGGCAGGGCUCAUUCUCUCCAAGCCUGCCACUACAGCGAGUUUUGUUUUCAGAAAGUUUUAUUCCUCUAUGGGAGCAAAAUCCAUGUCUCUGGAGCAUCUUUCCAUUGGGUUAGAUUCUUUCUUCAGAAGCAAUACAACUGAACUUCAUCCCUUUCCCGUAGGACAGGCUUGCAAAUACUUGAAUAUAACUUUUGUUCUCCCCACCCCCUCAAGCUACCACUUUUGUUUUAUUGGCUACAUUCCCCGGAUCCCCACAGGACAUGGACUCAGAGGUUUUGUUUUUCUGAGUUGGCCGUGGUUGGCCUUGGUUUGCCAGUCUUUUAAGAAGUGUCCAGAAGCAAAUAAAAUACUCAGAAUUUGAGUGGCCAGCAGGGACAGUGCUGUCCACCAUGUCACGUGACUGCCUUUAAAAAGGCCCCUGAGUCAGGGAGGAGCCCCCAAACCGUGGAGUCAGAUCUCUAUCACCCAGUGCAUGUACAGAGGAUUUAUUGCAUUUAAGAAUGUCUCAUGUUUAUCCCCAUUAAAUUGCAUUUUGUUUUGGCUUUUUGGUAGCUUUUCAAGCCUGUCUCUCUUGUCUUUUGUUCCUUUAUAAAUUGACUAGCAUGGCUUUUACAGUUUUGCCCAAUGAUUGAUCUAAAUAUUGCAGAAGCAAGGGUUUCUGGGGUUUCUAGGGUCGUUGAUGUCGCUAGUAAUUAUGUUGAAAAUAGUUACAGGUUUAUUUCAUCCAUUAGCUCAUAAGCAGUGAUGAAUAGUAGGGUCUUGGGAACUAGAUUGCCUGGGUUCAAGUCCUGGGUCUGCUCAUAUACCAGGUGUGUGGCAUUGGGCAUGUUGAUUUCCCUGUGCCUCUAUUUCCCCAUCUGUAAAAUGGGGAUAAUAACGUAACUAUCACAUAUGAUUGUUUUGAUGAUUAAAUGAAUUAAUAGAUGUAAAGCAUUUAGACCAGAAACAGGCACAUAACAUGCACUAUUUGUUAUACAAAGGAAAUAAAUCAAGACAAGAUCCCUAAGGACAGGAACAGUAUCUCAUUUAUAUUUGUAUCUCCAGAGACUAGCAUUGUACCUGGAAUAUAUUUGGGACUGAUAUAUUGAGUACUUGAACGAAUGAGUUUCCAUAAUGUUCUAGACACUGAAUGCAAGCAGAUAAUAUGAUCAACGCUAUGGUUUCUAAUGCUAACAGAUUUUCAAUAUUAUUGUAAAAAAGGACUUGGUGGAAGGAAGAUGUGUAUGUUCAACCUCAGACCAUUGUCAUGGUGGUUAUUUUGUUGCUAAUUUUUCUGUGAAUGAUCAUCAGUGUCACCAGUGUCUUUAUUGAUUCUAAUCUAUAAUGCCUCCUCCUAGCGCUGAAGACCAGACCAGAAAGAUCACACACACAACUCAGAAAAAGAGAAAGGAUUCUGCUUCGUUUGCUUGCACCAAUCUGAGAGGGGACACUGUCUAUUUUUAGCAUGAAAAGGAACUUAAAGAACGCUAGUGGUCCUUUGUCAGAUCUUCAUGUUUUUUAAAUGUUUGUAGAUUCCCCGGCCAUUGGCAGACUCAUUCAAAAAAGACAUGCUAAAAAAAAUUAAAUGUUUUAAAUGUCA